GAUAAACGCUGGCGGCGUGCGUAAAACAUGUAAGUCGAACGAGGGGAGGCCGCAAGGCCGAGCCUAGUGGCGGACGGCUGAAUAACGCGUAGGUGACUUGCCCUGAAGUGGGGAAUAACGAUUCGAAAGAAUCGCUAAUACCGCAUGUGGUUGUGCGUAUGGACGCGUGCAACUAAAGCCCGCAAGGGUGCUUCUGGAGAGGCCUGCGUCCGAUUAGCUAGUUGGUGGGGUAAUUGCCUACCAAGGCGACGAUCGGUAGCUGAUCUGAGAGGAUGAUCAGCCAGACUGGGACUGAGACACGGCCCAGACUCCUACGGGAGGCUG
rnacentral:rRNA from 1 species